rnacentral:rRNA from 1 species
GAAGAAAGAGGGAGGCGUGCUUAACACAUGCAAGUCGAACGGAAAGGCCCCUUUGGUGGUCCUCUAGUGUCGAACGGGUGCGUAACACGUGAGUAACCUGCCCUUGACUUCGGGAUAACUUCAGGAUACUGGGGCUAAUACCGGAUAGGAAUCCUUUCUGCAUGGUGGGGGUUGGAAAGCUUCGGCGGUUUUGGCUGGACUCGCGGCUUAUCUGCUUGUUGGUGUGGUAGUGUCUUACCAAGGCCUCGACGGGUAGCCGGCCUGAGAGGGCGACCGGCCACAUUGGGACUGAGAUACGGCACAGACACGUACGGGAGGCAGAAGUGGGGAAGAUUGCACGAUGGGCGGAAGCCGGAUGCAGAAACGCCGCGUGCGGGAGGACGGCCUUAGGGUUGUAAACCGAAUUCAGCAGGGGCGAAGCUUGUGGUGACGGUACCUGCAGAAGAAGCACCGGCUAACUACGUG